rnacentral:lncRNA from 1 species
ACCGAGAGGCGAUGGAAGCGGAUUUGAAGGCUGCAGCUGAGGCUGCAGCUGAAGCCAAGGCUAGGGCCGAGAUUAGAGCUCGAAUGGGCAUUGGGCUCGGCUCGGAGAAUGCUGCCGGGCCCUGCAACUGGGACGAAGCUGAUAUCGGACCCUGGGCCAAAGCCCGGAUCCAGGCGGGAGCAGAAGCUAAAGCCAAAGCCCAAGAGAGUGGCAGUGCCAGCACUGGUGCCAGUACCAGUACCAAUAACAGUGCCAGUGCCAGUGCCAGCACCAGUGGUGGCUUCAGUGCUGGUGCCAGCCUGACCGCCACUCUCACAUUUGGGCUCUUCGCUGGCCUUGGUGGAGCUGGUGCCAGCACCAGUGGCAGCUCUGGUGCCUGUGGUUUCUCCUACAAGUGAGAUUUUAGUAUUGUUAAUCCUGCCAGUCUUUCUCUUCAAGCCAGGGUGCAUCCUCA